rnacentral:lncRNA from 1 species
UGCCAUCUCUUAAAAUCGACCCCAUUAAAUUUUUCAGGUUUCUCUCCGUGAGGAACAUGAGUUGAACCAGAAGGACCAGACAUCGUCGGCAUUACAGUAGCCACAGUUGGCGUUACAGUCACAGCAGGGGGAAUUGCAUUGGUCCCAACAGUGUUAGCCAUUUCUGUUUUCAUAACAGAAGAUCAACCAGUCAGAAUUUAUAAAUUAAAAUUCUGCAGAA